AUUAAUUUACAAGUAAUUAACAUGCUCUAAAACAUUUUAUAAUUCACUUCAAUAACGUGUAUAGAUAACACAAAAAUUAACUCUGGCCUACCUUAGGCUACAUGAUCACAGACAAGCUGAUGUAAUUAAAAUGAGAAGAUUUAUUUCCUGGUACUUUCAUGGCUUUAUUUUUACAUUAAAGUCUUUCAUGACGUAUUAUUUAUUGCUAUCUUCCACCAAAUGCUUGGCCAGUCAAUCCCAGGGUGAUCUUAAUAAUGACAGCUAACACAUGUAAACCAUAAAUAUUUAUGAAAAUUAUAUAUCCUCAUAUAAAUUUCAUAAUAACAUGUGUAAGUUACAAAAGAGAAAAAGUCAACGAGGAUAUGGGGGAAGCCAAAAGGAAUACAAACAAACGAACCGAACUAUGUACAAAUUAUGCAGAUCACAUAAUUUGCAGGAGGAGGUGGAAAGAAAGAAAAGAACUCAUCUAGGCAACUUUUGAAACCAGUACUUAGAUGCUACAGAUCAAACACAAAAACAACAGUACACGAUUAAGGAAGUAAGGUGCCUCCACAGUGAGUGCGCCUCCCGGGGGCACAGGUUGAGCAGUUCACCUACAGCACUGACAUGGCCUAAGCGAAUGUCGUGUCAAUCUGAGAGCCAGGUUUCUCCCUGUCACAGGAAGAAACUACACAUAAGGAAAGGGGCAGAAGCAACAAGCACAGCCAGUGCCCAGGUCUUGGUUGCUAAAUCCCAGUCUCCAAUGAGGGAGCGCUCCCUGGAGAAGCAGCUGGGUGCAGAGCUG
rnacentral:lncRNA from 1 species